rnacentral:lncRNA from 1 species
ACAUUUUGGAUCCAGCGGACUUAAAACCCAAGGCCAAGCCAAAUUAUGAAAAUGCCCUGACGAGUUUUUAACCUAGUAGAUUAUAUACUGCCUAAGUGUUUUGACGGCAGAGGAGGAGUUAGUUUUAGAGUUUUUUAGAGAGUUACAAUUUUACUUUGAGAGAGAAGAGAGAGCUUUGGAGAGAAGAUCAAUUGUGAUUGGAACUCCUUGUUUCCAUUUCUUUUCAUCUAUUCUAUGAAUUCCCAUUUCUUCAUUGUUAUGAAUUGCUUUGCUACGUCUGAGUAGUUCAAUUAUUAGAUCCAGGGUUCACAUAGGUUUGUGGAAUUAGCCCCAAACUAUAGAUCUGCCUUGUUGUGAUAUUCAUGAAAGAUUUGUAUUCAUUGCUUGUUUUAGCCUAGCUACCUAGAACUUGAUCAUAGGAUUGCAUACUCAAGCACCCUUGUUAUCCCAUCCUGACAUCUAUCUACCAUAUUAGGACUGCUAGA